GGCUUCCUCCCACAGAUCCAGCUGUAAGGCUGACCUGGCCUUGAUCUGCACGGUCUUCCCACCUGCUUGUUGCGAGCCUGGACCAGAACUGGAUCUGAUAUGACGCAGCAUCCCGUUAUUCUCAAGUCAACUCUCUACAAUGACUCCUGAGAUCAUUUACCAGAAGGGUAUCAGUGUAUCCUCCACUGAGAAGAAAAUGAAGGAUGUAAUAUGAAUGAAUACCUACAUAUAAGGAAGGCAAUUACAGAACAAUGCUACUUCAUGGACUCACAUUAGGUUUAUAUUUGUAAAAAAAAAAAAUUCCAAUCUGACAUCAGCAUAGUCAAGUAAAUUUUGUUUUAUACUAGUGUUAAGUCACUGUAAUUCAGAUACAAUAAGGUGCAAUGUCUUCUAACAGUUACAACAGGCAGGACACCUGUUGUGUCCUGCUCAUUCACUUGCCCACCAUGGUUGUGGCUAUAUCAUCUCCAUGUUUCUGGGCAAUCUCAUUUGCCUCAGACAGGUGACCAGAUCUAACUUGAAUGUAAUAAUCCAUGUGUUCUCUGAGGUAGCCCAUGACUAAUGAAAGAAUAUUUAGAAAGAACACAAACGUCUAUCACAGUACUGUACUCAGUAUAUGAAGAAAAGACAGAAUAGAGAAAUCUAAGGAAUGAUUUUCCAAAUUCUAUUUUCUGAUCAGAUCGUCACUAUAUUUAGGGAGAAAUUUCUGUUUGCAUAUCUUGAAUUUUUCCUCACAAUUAAAAAGUAUGUGAAAUGCAAUAAUGAAAUGGAGCUUUAAGGUAUGACUGCAGCAGCUACAAAACUUGUGACCUACCAUCUGUCCUGCCCACAAGAUGGCAUGGCAAUGGUGGAACAGAAAUUAUGGAAGUAGCCAACCAAUGUCUGAUUUGAGUUAAGGCUCACUCCAAAAGGUGAAAGUCAUACCCAACCUGCCUGCAUAACCAAGGACCAGAGCCUAGACAGCCCAGAAACCUAGGAUAAAACAAACACUAGUCAUGUAAAAUGAGAAAUAGAAGUAUGAACAAAAUCGACUACUAAUUCUGUUGUGCUGUACUAAUAGAUCAGUGCUUUAUUCAGUCAUCAUGUGAGAAGAUGUCUACAACUGCAGAUGGGAACAGAUGCAGAAGCCCAAAGUCAGACAUCAGGAGAAGAGAGAGUCUACAUGGAGGUCUCCAUCAAAUGCUUCCCCUCAGAGCUCAGGGAACCGUAGAGAGGAUGAGGCAGAAAGAGUGUUAACAGCCAGGAGAGAUAGAGGACACCAGGACAACAAGACCCUCUGAAUAAGCAAGUGCAAGUGAACUCACAGGGACUGAAGUAGCAGACACAGGGCCUACACAGGUCUGCACAUAUAUACUAUAUCUUUACGCUUAGCAUUAUUAUAUGACUGCUGAAUGUGAGGACAAUGAGGAAGAAGAGGUGGUUGGGAAAUCAGAAGGGAAAGACAUGUCAUUCUCUAAACUCCAUACCAUACAACUAUUAUAACCAGUAACCAACAGCAAAUGCACUUACCUGCACUGGCCUCACAGAACACCACAGACUAGGAAAGGGAAAAGGCUCACUUUAUUUCUUAGAUGUUGGCUAUGAAUAUACUGUAGGAGAAGAAUCAUUGCCUUUAGUUGUUAUCCUGUGCUGAGCGCAUUAGGCUCGAGCACACAUCAGGCUCCAAACCCACAGUCUCACAUAUGGCUCUGGUUCAUCUCAGUGGAUCACAAGCAAUAUGAAUAGAGAUGAACACAGUAGAGUGACUGUUGGAAUUGUGGACCAGGAUAGUGGAGAGGUAGGAGGUAGAUAGGCAGUAUUUGAUGUAUACUUUCCCAUGUGCACACAGACACACACAGACACACAGACACAGACACACACAGACACACACAGACACACAGACACACACACACACUGUGUUAUACAUUUAUAUGUCGGUGUGAAAUAGACAAUAAUAGACAAUCGGUGGGAGAUAUUUACUCGUUCAUUCAUUCAUUCAUUCAUUGUAGACAAGGUUUCUCUGUAUAAACCUGGGUUUAAAGGUACCUAUAAUCAACUCAAUUUUCUUUUAAAUUACCACAUCAGUCUUUAAUUUGUUUUUAGUUGUACAAGUAUCUAGUGGGAUUUAUUUAUUUGUUUAUUUUUGUUUUUGAGAAAUCACUAAGAUCAGCCUACCUCUGCCUCUGGAAUGCUAGGACUAAUGGGAUGUUCCACCAAGCCCAGCUCAGUAUCUGCUUUAGCAUCAAAUAAUAAUUAGAGUCAGGAACUGUCUCAUUUUAUGUUAAGAAGUAAGUCAAUGAUAAGUCAUAUUGCUUUUAGUUCUAUGUAGUUCUGAUAGAAUUCUGUGGACGUGGGAUUAUUUUAAGGAUAGCAUUUUAUACUCCUUCAGUCACAUUGUUACUUGUAGUCUUGUUCUUAUUAUUUAUUUCAUAUUGUGUGUUAUAUACAUCUGAAACCUCAUCUAUUUCCAUUAGAGUUUCCAGUUUAGUGCAAUAGAAGUCUUUAAUGUCAGUAGAUACAAGCUCUAAUUGUUAACUCAUUUCUAGCAAGUAGGUUGUGCCUUUACCUUGGGUAAACUGUUAGGUCAUUACAAGCUGGGCAGUGGUGGUGUACUCCUUUAAUCAAAGCACUCAGGAGGCAAAGGCAUGUAGAUCUCUGUGAGUUCAAUGCAAUCCUGGCCUACAGAGUGAGUUUCAGGUCAGCCAAUGUUACACAGUGAAGGUCUAUCUCUACAAAUAAAUAAGCACAUAGG
ensembl:lincRNA Gm26753 predicted gene, 26753